GUCAUGGCACAGCAAGGGCUUUCCAAGCGGUGGCAACCGGCUCUUCCCCGCCCCCCGCCCGGGGAGCCUGAAGCCACUGCGAGAGCCGAAAUCCAAACCUGUGCCCAGUAGCAGUUUGAGUCCGGGACUCUCCCCAGGGCCAUCUGGGGCUGCCCAGGAAGACUACUGCGUCCCUGAAGUUUGAUCAUUUCCAAGGCUAGUAACUACAAUGGUUCUCCCACACCUGGAAGCUAAUGAGUAAUGAGCACCAUUAAGGCUUAUUUCAAAUGUAAAAAACCUUGAGGUAAUGUACUAAAUUGUUCAGAAGGUUGUUUUCUUAGUGGAAUACUACAGGAUUUUCUUUAGCCAUCCGGAAUUCCUGCCUUCAUCCCAGUGCCGGUGAAGAUGAAGGUGGAAGAAUUUCCAGUGUUGCCGAGAACCGGACGAGACUUCUGAUCAAGCUAGCUGCCUGCAGAACUUACCUGGACUGUGAUUUAAGCUAGCUGCCUAUAGAACUUACCUGGACUGUGAACUUACCUGGACUGUGAUUUACCUGGACUGUGAGUUAAUCUAUUGAGACACUGCUUUACCUGGACUGAGACAACAAACUGUAAUCUACAACAAAUUGUAACUCGGUAUCUUUGCAAACGGUGUCAUUGCUGGUAUAAUUUUUCCAAAGGCUUCUUGCAUGGAGCCAUCAGUUGGCUUAGUAUUGUGCAUUUUGUAUCCUCCCCUUCUGCUUGUAGCAGAUUAUUUAUGGUGUUUGUGUAAAAACCACUAUGGUCGUUGUUUAAAUUAAACAAAAGGGUGAAAUGUUAGAGUCUGUAAACAAGUCAGGAUGGCGCCUGGCAAAUGUUAGAGUCUGUAAACAAAAUGUAAACAUUUUGCCAGAGGGAGUGGUUUGUGAAGUACCGCCAGCCAGCGGUUAAGUGUGGAGAGUCCUUAUUGGUUGACUGCUGUAUCGAGUUUAUGCUAAUUAAGAUAAGCUGUGUAAAAUGUAUAAAUACCUCUGUUGUCCUAUAACAAACGGCUCCCACCCGGCUGUAAAAUAUAUAUAUAUUUGGUUCUGUUUUUGAUCAUUUAUGCAAUUUUAUAUGUAUUUAUCAAAGAAUGCUAGAUUUUAUGAAUUUGGGGAAACUUUCAAGACUACAUUUAGCUUUCUUUUAUCCAUGCCUGAAAUAAGAGCAAACCAACCUCAAGCCACAUUUUCUGGGGAGCAG
rnacentral:lncRNA from 1 species